rnacentral:rRNA from 1 species
AUUGAACGCUGGCGGCAUGCUUUACACAUGCAAGUCGAACGGUAACAGGCCUUCGGGCGCUGACGAGUGGCGAACGGGUGAGUAAUGCAUCGGAACGUGCCCAGUCGUGGGGGAUAACGCAGCGAAAGCUGUGCUAAUACCGCAUACGAUCUGCGGAUGAAAGCGGGGGACCUUCGGGCCUCGCGCGAUUGGAGCGACCGAUGUCAGAUUAGGUAGUUGGUGGGGUAAAGGCUCACCAAGCCAACGAUCUGUAGCGGGUCUGAGAGGACGACCAGCCACACUGGGACUGAGACACGGCCCAGACUCCUACGGGAGGCAACAGUGGGGAAUUUUGGACAAUGGGCGCAAGCCUGAUCCAGCAAUGCCGCGUGCAGGAAGAAGGCCUUCGGGUUGUAAACUGCUUUUGUACGGAGCGAAAAGGCUCCCUCUAAUACAGGGGGCUCAUGACGGUACCGUAAGAAUAAGCACCGGCUAACUACGUGCCAGCCGCCGCAGUAAAAC